CUUGUGAAAUUUACCCUCUUUUUUCGACCUUUAAAAGGUCGGAAUUUUCCCCUUAUAUUACCAACAAAUCACUCCCGUGUCCAGAUCCAACCCCAAUUUUAUACCUAAUACAAGUAUAAAAUUAAUAUUUAUAUUUCUAUCCAAAUCCGCCCAAGAAUCUGUGUUUUUCCAUAUUACAUUUAAUUCAAUUAGGUAUAUAUUUAGAGUUUUAUCUAUUUAGCAAUUUUGUUGUACGAUUCCUUGAGUCGGUGUUUUUCCACAUUAUGUUUUAUUCAAUCAGGUGUAUAUCCAGAGUUUAAUUUAUUUAUCAAUUUUGUUGGAUGAAUUUUUUUUCUUCUAAUAAAUUUACGCGUUUCUCCCUUUUUUUUUUAAUUUUAUUUUACAAUUUCGACACCUCUUUCCUUUGAAUUUCAGGCUAGACUCUUGAUUGCUUUUAUAAUUUUAUUAGAUAAUUUGAUUAAGACUUAUUAGUUUUUAGUGAAUAGUUAACUAAUUUCGAGUUUUGAAUUUCUACUGUAAAUUGAAUUUGCUGGAUGUUGAAAUUUUUAGUUUACUUGAAUUUUCUUGAUUAUGAAGUUUAGUCAUUUGUGCAUUCCAAUUGUCUGGACUAAGAACUGAGAUACAAACGGAAAUCCUUUGGAUGAAUGUUGAAGUUUAUUGUUUUUAAUUGCUUUUUCAAUUUAAACAGUGAAGCAGCUUCAUCUUAAAAUUGUGUUAUUUUGAAAAUAAAUAAAUUGAAUUUCACCACAUGUAUUAAUAUUUGCAUAUCAUUAUUAGUGUCAAAUUGUUGUUUACUUUGUCUAUUUUGACAAGUAAUUCUGAUCACUGAUACAAAAAUAUAAGCUCGAAAUUAAUAUUUAAUAUUUUCCAUUCAUUACAUUAUGAAUAGAUUUAAAUGAACAAAUUUCUGUAUAUCAAAUUUACUAGAACAAGCAUUCUGAAGUUCCACUGUAUUAAUGGGUCGAAUCUUCUUUGAAGAGUAGUGGUUUAGACGUUUAGCAAAAGAACAUGGUUGGUUUUCAUUCACAUAUUUUCAUCGUAAAAGAUUUGCCAUUGCAACUCCUCUAGUAGGUUAUUUGUUCAAAGCUGAGACAGCAACAGACGAAAAAUUUUCAAAUAAAAUUUGAAAAGAAUCGAGACAAAAUGAGUCAGAGAAAACCCGUAAGCGGAAGGCCAUUGGGAACCGAUGGCUCUGAUUUCUCCUACCGCAUGGUUGUCAACUCCAGAUAUUAAAAGGUUGCUGAAGGUAAAUCCCAUCUCUUGGCUUUGAUUUUAACUCAGGUACUUACAUCCAUACUCAAUUGAUUGCAAUUUUCUCAGCAAAAAUUAGCUAUUUGAUAUAUAUUGGUUUAAAAUUAAUUAUGAUAUAAAACCAUAGGUAGAGAGAAUUGAAGGAAAAAAAAAAAACUAGAUGGGAAAUGCUAAGUAAGGAGUUAAAAUAGCAGAGAAAUGAUAUUAUAUUCCUUUCCAUUUUUAGCUAAUUUUUUGAAUUAAAUAAUGACAAAAAAAAUCAUGUAGGAUAGUUCACAAAUUGACAAACGAAUUUAGCUGCUGGCUAACAUCAUCCUCAGUCAGCUAUCAAUUGUUGUAGCACUAUUGUAUGGAUAUAUGCAGCCAUGCUCCAUUUUAUUAUCAAGGUACGGUGUCAUAAUAAUUUGUAAAAUUUGGCCAACACUUUUUUCUUCUUUCUUCCCCAUUGAGCAGUGUUGAUUGACCCUUAUUAGGGCUCGCUAAACUAUAGAAUAAAAUGCUAAGCCCAUGCUUGAGCGCCAUUUUUUGAAAGUAGAAUUUGUAAAAAGUGAAUUUUUUGAAGAACCUGUUGUUAAAAGGUAGGGGAUUUACAUGCAAAUAAUUUUAUUGAGAGAAUGUGUGGUCGAAAAUGAGUUUAAUAUAAAUAAGUUUUAAAGGAUGGAGCUCGAGCAAGGGCAAAAUAACUUCCUUGCUACUAUUUUUAAUGUUUUUCGCUUUGACCUAUGUUGCAGACUUUAGUUCGAAUUCUGGAAGCAGCAACUUUAUUUUUAUCUACUCCAAAGGGGGAAACUGUCGAUAGAUUUUAUGCUUCUUCUAGCGUUAUUUGGUUUAUGUCUCUCUUUAUAGGAGAAAUAGCUCAUCGAAGAUUUCAGUAAGUGGGAGACAUCGAUGGCUAAGAUGUUCAAGGUUGCUGUUGUUCUGCUUGAAGUAAUUGUGCAGACAGUUACAAUCGGUGUGACCUCCUCUCUUGUG